rnacentral:rRNA from 1 species
GACGAACGCUGGCGGCGUGCUUAACACAUGCAAGUCGAACGGAAAGGCCCUGCUUGCAGGGUACUCGAGUGGCGAACGGGUGAGUAACACGUGGGUGAUCUGCCCUGCACUUCGGGAUAAGCCUGGGAAACUGGGUCUAAUACCGGAUAGGAGCCAUUUUUAGUGUGAUGGUUGGAAAGUUUUUUCGGUGUAGGAUGAGCUCGCGGCCUAUCAGCUUGUUGGUGGGGUAAUGGCCUACCAAGGCGGCGACGGGUAGCCGGCCUGAGAGGGUGGACGGCCACAUUGGGACUGAGAUACGGCCCAGACUCCUACGGGAGGCAGCAGUGGGGAAUAUUGCACAAUGGGUGCAAGCCUGAUGCAGCGACGCCGCGUGGGGGAUGACGGCCUUCGGGUUGUAAACUCCUUCCGCUAGGGACGAAGCUUUUUGUGACGGUACCUAGAGAAGAAGCACCGGCUAACUACGUG